rnacentral:rRNA from 1 species
UGGGGAAUAUUGGACAAUGGGGGCAACCCUGAUCCAGCCAUGCCGCGUGAGUGAUGAAGGCCUUCGGGUUGUAAAGCUCUUUUGGCGGGGACGAUGAUGACGGUACCCGCAGAAUAAGCCCCGGCUAACUUCGUGCCAGCAGCCGCGGUAAGACGAAGGGGGCUAGCGUUGUUCGGAAUUACUGGGCGUAAAGCGAGUGUAGGCGGUUGCCGUAGUCAGGUGUGAAAGCCUUGAGCUCAACUCAAGAAAUGCACUUGAUACUGGGUGACUAGAGGACCGGAGAGGAUAGUGGAAUUCCCAGUGUAGUGGUGAAAUACGUAGAGAUUGGGAAGAACACCAGUGGCGAAGGCGGCUAUCUGGACGGUUACUGACGCUAAGACUCGAAAGCGUGGGGAGCAAAACAGGAUUAGAUACCCUGGUAGUCCACGCCGUAAACCGAUGGGUGCUAGACGUUGGCGAGCUUGCUCGUCAGUGUCGCAGCUAACGCGUUAAGCA